UACGGGGGGGGCAAGCGUUUGUUCGGAAUACUGGGCGUAAAGGCUCGUAGGCGGCCAACUAAGUCAUACGUGAAAUCCCUCGGCUUAACCGGGGAACUGCGUCUGAUACUGGAUGGCUUGAGUUCGGGAGAGGGAUGCGGAAUUCCAGGUGUAGCGGUGAAAUGCGUAGAUAUCUGGAGGAACACCGGUGGCGAAGGCGGCAUCCUGGACCGAUACUGACGCUGAGGAGCGAAAGCCAGGGGAGCAAACGGG
rnacentral:rRNA from 1 species